CUAGCAGUGAGACCACUGAGAUGAGCUGAAAAGACGACAGUGAAACAUGCACUCAGCCUUCCUCCGGGACUACGGGCUUCUUCCUUCAGGAUUUAAUUCCCCUUUCCCUGGAUACCAGCUGCAACACUGAAAGAUUCACAUUCUCUGUCUUCCAUUUCAAUACAAGAUGCUUUAAAGGAGCUCCCAUUUAUGGCAGAUGCACAGAGAUAUCAAGAUGAAGGAACAAGAAAAGUGACACCAUGUUAAUGGCCCAGCAAAGUCACAAAAAAGCAUCCCAACCAUUUAUCUCCUAAAAUCUAUGGAUGAAUAUUUUAUAUAAGACCAAAAGAAUCAAAA